GCGGGUGAAAGGGAGAGAAGCUGACCGAAGGCGCGGCCCGGCUCUCCGCCUGACCCCUCAGUCUGGACAGCGCAGGGUGGCGGCAAGGCAGGGCUGGGCCGGGGGCGGCCCAGGCGACUACAGGUAGCAGGAGGGCGGGGACGAGAGCCGUUGCGCCACCGCUGGCGCGCCGGUUUUGUUGUUAUUGCGAGGAUUGUCUGGGGCCCCUUUAAGCCGGAACAGGCAGGGCGGAAGUGCGUCACCGGCGGCACGCCCCUGCACAUGGACCUCCCCCGUCCCCGCCAUCCCUGCCGAUCCUGUUGCUGCCGCCUUCCCGCCGUGCUCGGGCUGCCCGGGACUCUAGCCGCCAGGCUUCGCGUCGCCCAGCGGCAGAUCGGGCUCCUGGGAGCCUCUCCCCUGGCCGUUUGCUCGGCCUCGGCCCCAGCUGCCCUGGGGCCUAGCCACUAGCUCCCCUGGCGCUAGCCUACCCUGUCUUGACCGCACCCUGAAGAUUUGGGAAGUCUUUCUCCAUCCCAAGAGUCGUCUCUGCAAAAGUUGGUGUCCUUCCUGGUGCUGAACCACGCUUCUGCUCAAAAUGUGUUGAGCGUCGUCUGUCUGCAAAGCACGGUGCCAGGAGCUUUGGUGGAGAAGGCAUGGGGUACAUGUGUAAAGAGUACAGGCUUUUGGUUAAACCUGAAGUCCUCCUCUACUUUCUGGGGGACCCUGGCCGUCCUUGCUGAGCCUCCGUUGACUUCUCUAAUGGGGACGGUAAUGCCUACCUGACCACAAGCUGAUGAGUAAAUGAGCUAUGAGUGCAAAGUGUGGUGCAGUUCUGGCGUGUGCCAGCCUCUCAAGUGUCAGUUUCCGUCUCAUUCCUCUUAAUCUUCACUAAAAUGGACAAGUAUUCAUUGAGCACCUAAUGCGUGUUCAGUAUGGUGGGAGAUGAGGGAUGACAGUAUUAUUUUUCUAUUUUAUAGGUUAGACAUAGAACAAAAGGUUGAGUCUAUUGCCCAUAGCCGAACUUUUCUUCAUUUUCUACUGUGGUUUAGAAGUCGGUAUAGUAAGUUAAGGGUUGUUAGAUGUGCAUUUUCACAGCUCCCAGCUUCCACUUAGGAGUAGAUAACAUAGGGGACUUUGCGAGCUGGUCUCUUUCCCUCUUAGCUUCAGAAGGGCUUCGAGGUAGCCACCACUGAAUUAGUUGAGAGACAAGGCACCCCUACGGAGGAAAUCUCAACUGCACAACCCCUACUGUGCCCCAAUUCAGCAGGAAGCAGUUAGAGCGGUGGUCAAACCUCCCCAAUAGCACUUGGGUUUUCCUGUUGAGAGGGGGUACUGAGAGACAGGACUAGUUGGAUUUCCUAGGCUGGCUAAGAAUCCCUAAGCCUAGCUGGGAAAUUGACCACGUCCACCUUUAAACACGGGGCUUGCAAUUUAGCUCACACCCGACCAAUCAGGUAGUAAAGAGAGCUCACUAAAAUGCUAAUUAGGGAAAAACAGGAGGUAAAGAAGUAGCCAAUCAUCUAUCGCCUGAGAGCACAACAGGAGGGACAAUGAUCAGGAUAUAAACCCAGGCAUUCAAGCCAGCGGUGGCUACCCUCUUUGGGUCCCCUCCCUUUGUAUGGAAGCUCUGUUUUCACUCUAUUAAAUCUUGCAAUUGCACACUUUUCUGGUACGUGUGUGUCACAGCUCAAGCUGAGCUUUCGCUCACCGUCCACCACUGCUGUCUGCCGCUGUCACAGACCCACAGCUGACUUCCAUCCCUCUGGAUCCAGCGAGGCGCCCAUUGCUGCUCCUGAUCGGGCUAAAGGCUUGCCCUUGUUCCUGCAGGGCUAAGUGCCCAGGUUCGUCCUAAUCUAGCUAAACACUAGUCACUGGGUUCCACGAUUCUCUUCCAUGACCCACAGCUUCUAAUAGAGCUAUAACACUCGCCGCUUGGCCCAAGAUUCCAUUCCUUGGAAUCCAUGAGGCCAAGAACCCCAGGUCAGAGAACACAAGACUUGCCACCAUCUCGGAAGUGGCCCGUCACCAUCUUGGAAGCGACCUGCCACCAUCUUGGGAACUUGGGGAGCAAGGACCCCCAGUAACAUAGUGACCAGGAGGAAAUUCUUCCUCUCAACAGCUAAUGCAGCAGGAUCUCUUACACCGUACCCUCCCUCACCUUGCUCUUGCUCUUCAUGGUAGAACACGUACCAUAUCUUAGCUGUACUCUAUCAACUGCGCAUCUGAAGUAAAGAGUGAAGUCUUCUUUGUUUCCAGUCAUGGAGCAACAACUUGCUAUGAUACUGGCCUUCUGUAGCUGACUCUUCUUUGUCUACCCAGGCACUCUAAUGGAACUUUAAUUCUAGCUAAAGUUAUUUUCUCAGACUCCUUUGAAGCAAGGGGCAGCCAUUUGACACACUUCAAGCCAAUGAGUUGAAUGUUGAACUUAUUGCUGAGGCUUCUAAGAAAGCAUAUAGAUGGAAGGGCUCUGCGAAUCAGAGCUCAUCUUUGCCCUACACCUGUCUUCCAGGAGGAACGUGAAGAGCUACAGCACUCAUAGUUCAGUCAUGAAACAACAAACAGGAGAACAAUGGCCUGCAUUCCAAGGAUGGCAGAGCAGAAAACUGUAAAGAGGCUGGGCAUUUGAUGGCAUUGUGGUGCCACCAGACAAGCCCUAAGCUAUCUUCCCUAAGACUUCUUGUUUUGGGUCAAAUUCCUGUUUAAGCCAGGAAGUUUUCACAACCUUCACCACCCAGUCCUGCAGCUGUUGUCUCAUGCUUGUGACUCAGACUUCCAGGAAUCCUUUAGAAGUGAUGUGGUGAUCUCGUUUGGCACUAUGCAAUGUACACUAUUAAUGAAGAUAAGAACUGGAAAUGUCAAAGAACAAUUGCCCAGCUCAGUUACCAUCUGCUACUAAAGAUAGCCCCAGCUGGGUGCGAUGGCUCACACCUGUAAUCCCAACACUUUGGGAGGCUGAGGCAGGUGGAUCACCUGAGGUCAGGAAUUCAAGACCAGCCUGGCCAACAUGGUGAAACCCCAUCUCUACUAAAAAUACAAAAAAUUAGCUAGGUGUGGUGGUGCAUGCCUGUAAUCCCAGCCACUAGGGAGGCUAAGGCAGGAGAAUUGCUUGAACUCUGGCAGCAGAGGUUGCAGUGAGCUGAGAUUGUGCCACUGCACUCCAGCCUGGUCGACAGAGUGAGACUCAGUCUCAAAAAAAAAAAGCCCGUAAUGAGAACUCUCAAGAGUACCAUGGUAAUAUAAUAUGGUAAUAGAUAAUAAAAGAGUCAUGAUCAUUAAUAAUAAAUAUAAUACUUCUACUUCAACUGAGGAAUGGAAAACUAAACAUCAUAUGUUCUCAUAUGUCCCUAAGCUAUGAGGAUGCAAAGGCAUAAGAAUGAUACAAUGGACUUUGGGGACUUUCAGGGAAAGGGUGAGAAGGGCGUAAGGGAUAAAAGACUACAAAUUGGGUUCAGUAUAUACUGCUCGGGUGAUGGGUGCACCAAAAUCUUAAAAAUCGCCAAAGAACUUAUGUAACUAAAUACCACCUGUUCCCCAAAAAACUAUGGAAAUUAAAAAUUAAAAAAUAAGUAUAAUUUCUGCUUUAGCGAUAUUAACUAUUCAGUACACAAUAAGUGAGUUUAGCAAUUCAGUGAUUUCUGACUGUUGGGUAGCUCUCUUUGUUAACAAAUAAAAUAUAAAUUUGAAGAAACUUAUUUGUAAAUAA
rnacentral:lncRNA from 10 species